CGGGAGGCAGCAGGGGGGAAUCUUAGACAAUGGGGGCAACCCUGAUCUAGCCAUGCCGCGUGAGUGAUGAAGGCCUUAGGGUCGUAAAGCUCUCUCGCCUGUGAUGAUAAUGACAGUAGCAGGUAAAGAAACCCCGGCUAACUCCGUGCCAGCAGCCGCGGUAAUACGGAGGGGGUUAGCGUUGUUCGGAAUUACUGGGCGUAAAGCGCGCGUAGGCGGAUUAGAAAGUUGGGGGUGAAAUCCCGGGGCUCAACCCCGGAACUGCCUCCAAAACUGCUAGUCUAGAGUUCGAGAGAGGUGAGUGGAAUUCCGAGUGUAGAGGUGAAAUUCGUAGAUAUUCGGAAGAACACCAGUGGCGAAGGCGGCUCACUGGCUCGAUACUGACGCUGAGGUGCGAAAGUGUGGGGAGCAAACAGGAUUAGAUACCCUGGUAGUCCACACCGUAAACGAUGAAUGCCAGUCGUCGGAUAGUAUACUAUUCGGUGACACACCUAACGGAUUAAGCAUUCCGCCUGGGGAGUACGGUCGCAAGAUUAAAACUCAA
rnacentral:rRNA from 1 species